rnacentral:rRNA from 1 species
UACGUAGGGGGCGAGCGUUGUCCGGAUUCAUUGGGCGUAAAGCGCUUUAAGGCGGUUCGGUAAGUCGGGUGUGAAAACUCGAGGCUCAACCUCGAGACGUCGACGGAAACCAUCUGGCUAGAGUCCGGAAGAGGAGAGUGGAAUUCCUGGUGUAGCGGUGAAAUGCGCAGAUAUCAGGAAGAACACCCGUGGCGAAGGCGGCUCUCUGGGACGGUACUGACGCUGAGACGCGAAAGCGUGGGGAGCGAACAGG